CCUGGUAGCGGGGGGUAACUAUUGGAAACGAUAGCUAAUACCGCAUAUCAGUAGAUAUUGCAUGAUAUCUGCUUGAAAGGUGCAAUUGCAUCACUACCAGAUGGACCUGCGUUGUAUUAGCUAGUUGGUGAGGUAACGGCUCACCAAGGCAACGAUACAUAGCCGACCUGAGAGGGUGAUCGGCCACACUGGGACUGAGACACGGCCCAG
rnacentral:rRNA from 1 species